GCCCUUGUGACGGAAUGGCAGACGUCGCCCGCUCAGAACGGGUGUUUUACAGGUUCGAGUCCUGUCAGGGGUA
rnacentral:tRNA from 1 species